rnacentral:rRNA from 1 species
UGGCGACGGGUGAGUAACGCGUGGAAAACCUGCCGUAUACUGGGGGAUAACACUUAGAAAUAGGUGCUAAUACCGCAUAAGCGCACAGCUUCGCAUGAAGCGGUGUGAAAAACUCUGGUGGUAUACGAUGGUUCCGCGUCUGAUUAGCCAGUUGGUGGGGUAAUGGCCUACCAAGGCAACGAUCAGUAGCCGGCCUGAGAGGGUGAACGGCCACAUUGGGACUGAGACACGGCCCAAACUCCUACGGGAGGCAGCAG